rnacentral:tRNA from 1 species
GCCCAGGUAGCUCAGUUGGUAGAGCAGCGGACUGAAAAUCCGCGUGUGGCCAGUUCGAUUCUGGCCCUGGGCACCA